GAGGGUCGUUGUAGACUACGACGUUGAUAGGCUGCAGGUGUAAAGGUGGUGACAUCAAAGCCGAGCAGUACUAAUUGCCCGAAUUUUUCCUUAA
rnacentral:rRNA from 1 species